GUGAUAGUAACAGUGUUACUAUUAAUAAUAGCCAAUUUUUUAUUGAUAUUAAGUUUGUCUUUUUAAAAUUUUUUAUUUGCUUUAAUUAGUUACACAUGACAAAAAUGCAUUUAUUCAUUUUGACAUAUUAUACAUAGAUGGGAUAUAAUUUCUAAUUUUUCUUUCUGUACAUGUUAUAGAACCACAUUGGUCAUGCAGCCACAUGUAUACAUAAAGCAAUAAUGUCUGUUUUGUUCUAAUAUCCUUCCUAUCCCCACAUCCCCUUUUCUCCCCUCCUUUUAUUUUCCUCUAACUAAUCUAAGUUAACUCUAUUCUAUUCUCUAGUGCACCUCCCACUUAUUAUGAUUUAGCAUCUGCAUAUUAGAGAAAACAUUUGGCCUUUGGUUUUUUAGGAUUGGCUUAUUUUUGCUUAGCUUGAUAUUCUCCAGCUCCAUCCAUUUACCAGCAAAUAUAUGUAGCAAAAUGAAAUAGCCAACUUUUGUUGAGUAUCUGCCAAACUUUUUUAAAGUAAUUUAAAUGUUUUAUCUCAUCUAUACCUCUGUUAUGGUUUAGAAGUGAGAUGACCCCCAAAACUCAUGUGUGAGACAAUGCAAGAAAGUUUAGAAGUGAAAUGAUUGGGUUAUGAGAGCCUUAACCUAAUCAGUGUAUUAAUGCCCUCAACUGGAUCACCUGGGUGGUAACUGUAGGCAGGAAGUAUGUGGUUGAAGAACAUGAGUCAUUGGGGGCAUGCCUUUGGAGUUUAUAUUUUGUCCCUGGUGAGAAGAGCUCUUUUUAUUUCCUGGUGCCAUGACCUAAUUGCUUUCCUCCACCAUAUCCUUCCUCCAUGAUGUUCUACCUAAUCUCGAGCCAAGAGCAACAGAUUCAGCCACUUAUAGAUUCAGAUAACAGUUACUAAUAUGGCAUUAUGUAAAAUAUGGA
rnacentral:lncRNA from 1 species